rnacentral:rRNA from 1 species
AUUGAACGCUGGCGGCAUGCUUUACACAUGCAAGUCGGACGGCAGCACAGAGAAGCUUGCUUCUUGGGUGGCGAGUGGCGAACGGGUGAGUAACAUAUCGGAACGUACCGGGCAGUGGGGGAUAACUAAUCGAAAGAUUAGCUAAUACCGCAUAUCUUCUGAGGAAGAAAGCAGGGGACCAUUUGGCCUUGCGCUGUUUGAGCGGCCGAUAUCUGAUUAGCUAGUUGGUGGGGUAAAGGCCUACCAAGGCGACGACCAGUAGCGGGUCUGAGAGGAUGAUCCGCCACACCGGGACUGAGACACGGCCCAGACUCCUACGGGAGGCAGCAGUGGGGAAUUUUGGACAAUGGGCGCAAGCCUGAUCCAGCCAUGCCGCGUGUCUGAAGAAGGCCUUCGGGUUGUAAAGGACUUUUGUCAGGGAAGAAAAGGGCGGGGUUAAUACCCCUGUCUGAUGACGGUACCUGAAGAUA